rnacentral:rRNA from 1 species
UACGUAGGGUGCAAGCGUUGUCCGGAAUUAUUGGGCGUAAAGAGCUCGUAGGCGGUCUGUCGCGUCGGCUGUGAAAACUCGGGGCUCAACUCCGAGCUUGCAGUCAAUACGGGCAGGCUAGAGUUCGGCAGGGGAGACUGGAAUUCCUGGUGUAGCGGUGAAAUGCGCAGAUAUCAGGAGGAACACCGAUGGCGAAGGCAGGUCUCUGGGCCACUACUGACGCUGAGAAGCGAAAGCAUGGGGAGCGAACAGG